rnacentral:pre_miRNA from 7 species
UUUUAGAAAUACAUUCUCCUUCUCUUUCAGAUUGAAAGACCCCCAAAGAGGGGAGACCCUCACUCAGGUCUUGGGAUGAUGCGACCCCCCAAGAACUCAUGAGGGACU